GAUGAACGCUAGCUACAGGCUUAACACAUGCAAGUCGAGGGGAAACGGGAGAAUAGCUUGCUAUUCUUUGUCGUCGACCGGCGCACGGGUGAGUAACGCGUAUCCAACCUUCCCAUAACUAAGGAAUACCCCGUAGAAAUGCGGCCUAAUCCCUUAUGGUCUCUUAUGCCUGACAUCGGAAUAAGAGUAAAGAUUUAUCGGUUAUGGAUGGGGAUGCGUCUGAUUAGCUUGCUGGCGGGGUAACGGCCCACCAGGGCAUCGAUCAGUAGGGGUUCUGAGAGGAAGGUCCCCCACAUUGGAACUGAGACACGGUCCAAACUCCUACGGGAGGCAGCAGUGAGGAAUAUUGGUCAAUGGGCGGAAGCCUGAACCAGCCAAGUAGCGUGCAGGAUGACGGCCCUAUGGGUUGUAAACUGCUUUUUAAGGGGAAUAAAGAGGGGCACGCGUGCCCUGUUGCAUGUAGCCUUGGAAUAAGGACCGGCUAAUUCCGUGCCAGCAGCCGCGGUAAUACGGAAGGUCCAGGUGUUAUCCGGAUUUAUUGGGUUUAAAGGGAGCGUAGGCCGCAGGUUAAGUGUGUUGUGAAAAGCAGUCGCCCAACGUCUGCCUUGCAGCGCAAACUGUCCUGCUUGAGUGCGCACAACGCAGGCGGAAUUCGUCGUGUAGCGGUGAAAUGCUUAGAUAUGACGAAGAACUCCGAUUGCGAAGGCAGCUUGCGGGAGCGCAACUGACGCUGAAGCUCGAAAGUGCGGGUAUCGAACAGGAUUAGAUACCCUGGUAGUCCGCACGGUAAACGCUGGAUGCCCGUUUUUGGCUUAUUUUAAGUCAGAGACCAAGCGAAAGCAUUAAGCAUCCCACCUGGGGAGUACGCCGGCAACGGUGAAACUCAAAGGAAUCGACGGGGGCCCGCACAAGCGGAGGAACAUGUGGUUUAAUUCGAUGAUACGCGAGGGAACCUUACCCGGGCUUGAAUUGCACACGCAGGAUACAGAGAUGUGGACUCCCUUCGGGGCG
rnacentral:rRNA from 1 species